GUAAGAUUGAGCCCUGGCGGGCUCGCUCCUGGUCCCUCCCUCUCAGGGGAGAGAGAGCCUCCCUCCACUGGACAGCAGGAUUGGCCCUACUGGAGGAGGCGGUGGUGGCUUCUACGGGGACAGAUGGCAAUCGGGUACUGAAAGGCCGUUUCUGCCACCACGCUGCCUAUGGCCUGGGGCUUCAUUCAUUCCUUUGCCCCACGCAGUUCCUCGGGCAUUGUUAGGUGUUGUGCCCGACAGCAGGUUCUCACCAAAUCAGCCACAAAAUCUCUCCUUUUCCACUCAAUCUCUUCUCAAAAUAUUUGGACACAUCAGAUACACCAUCGAUUUCAAAUUCUUGCUGGCGCGGUCCCUGAAGCCAUCUGUCCCGAACCAGACUGACAGGCGGCCUUCACCUACCUGGGGCCCAGCUGCCCUCCUGGCACUUCCGUCCCCCAGCACCCUGGGGGCCCUGCCCACUUCUGUGUGUUUUCUACAUCAUGGGUGUUUCUCUUUCAAGAAUAAUCCGCCCCCACCCCCCAGUUUUGGGAUGGAAACAUCCUCUAGUAACUUCCUGAGAAAAGGUGUUUGUAACAGAAGUUAUUUUGAGAACCCA